rnacentral:rRNA from 1 species
GACGAACGCUGGCGGCGUGCUUAACACAUGCAAGUCGAACGGAAAGGCCCUGCUUUUGUGGGGUGCUCGAGUGGCGAACGGGUGAGUAACACGUGAGUAACCUGCCCUUGACUUUGGGAUAACUUCAGGAAACUGGGGCUAAUACCGGAUAGGAGCUCCUGCUGCAUGGUGGGGGUUGGAAAGUUUCGGCGGUUGGGGAUGGACUCGCGGCUUAUCAGCUUGUUGGUGGGGUAGUGGCUUACCAAGGCUUUGACGGGUAGCCGGCCUGAGAGGGUGACCGGCCACAUUGGGACUGCGAUACGGCCCAGACUCCUACGGGAGGCAGCAGUGGGGAAUAUUGCACAAUGGGCGGAAGCCUGAUGUAGCAACGCCGCGUGCGGGAUGACGGCCUUCGGGUUGUAAACCGCUUUCGCCUGUGACGAAGCGUGAGUGACGGUAAUGGGUAAAGAAGCACCGGCUAACUACGUG